rnacentral:rRNA from 1 species
UUCCGCAAUGGACGAAAGUCUGACGGAGCAACGCCGCGUGAGUGAUGAAGGUUUUCGGAUCGUAAAGCUCUGUUGUUAGGGAAGAACAAGUGCAAGAGUAACUGCUUGCACCUUGACGGUACCUAACCAGAAAGCCACGGCUAACUACGUGCCAGCAGCCGCGGUAAUACGUAGGUGGCAAGCGUUGUCCGGAAUUAUUGGGCGUAAAGGGCUCGCAGGCGGUUUCUUAAGUCUGAUGUGAAAGCCCCCGGCUCAACCGGGGAGGGACAUUGGAAACUGGGAAACUUGAGUGCAGAAGAGGAGAGUGGAAUUCCACGUGUAGCGGUGAAAUGCGUAGAGAUGUGGAGGAACACCAGUGGCGAAGGCGACUCUCUGGUCUGUAACUGACGCUGAGGAGCGAAAGCGUGGGGAGCGAACAGGAUUAGAUACCCUGGUAGUCCACGCCGUAAACGAUGAGUGCUAAGUGUUAGGGGGUUUCCGCCCCUUAGUGCUGCAGCUAACGCAUUAAGCACUCCGCCUGGGGAGUACGGUCGCAAGACUGAAACUCAAAGGAAUUGACGGGGGCCCGCACAAGCGGUGGAGCAUGUGGUUUAAUUCGAAGCAACGCGAAGAACCUUACCAGGUCUUGACAUCCUUUACAACCCUAGAGAUAGGGCUUUCCCUUCGGGGACAGAG